UACGUAGGGGGCUAGCGUUGUCCGGAUUUAUUGGGCGUAAAGAGCGUGUAGGCGGCCAGGUAGGUCUGCUGUGAAAACUCGAGGCUCAACCUCGAGACGUCGGCGGAAACCAUCUGGCUAGAGUCCGGAAGAGGAGAGUGGAAUUCCUGGUGUAGCGGUGAAAUGCGUAGAGAUGUGGAGGAACACCGAUGGCGAAGGCAGCCCCCUGGGCUAACACUGACGCUCAUGCACGAAAGCGUGGGGAGCAAACAGG
rnacentral:rRNA from 1 species